UAAGGAAUAUUGUGACAUAUGGGCGGGAGGGAUGAUACCAGCUAUGCCGCGUGGAAGGAUGCACGGCCCUAUGGGCUUGUAAACUUCUUUUUAGCAGGGAAAAAACCCCCCGAUGCGUUGGGGGCUGAUGGUACCUGCAGAAUAAGGAUCGGCUAACUCCGUGC
rnacentral:rRNA from 1 species